CCGAGGUGAGGCUGCUUGGUCCUGUCUCAGCCAUGGCAGCUGUGUCUUGCCACCCAGGCUCUGCAAGGAGGCUGUGCUGAAGAUCUGGGAAUCACUGCCUCCUAUGAGAUCCCAGGGAUACAGAUAUCAGAGGUGGCACCAGCUGAACACUAUUGCCACUUAACAUACAACCCUACCACAGCAUGACCAUCUGACACCUGCUGGCUGGAGUCCCACUGCUGCAAAGGUGCCCAAAUGAACAGAAGCCCGGUUGUGUGUGUUGGAAGACAAAGUUAUGGCUGUGUUGACAAAUUUAAUCUAGAUUGCCCCCUCACCUAAUUCACCAGCUAAGAAAACACAAAGUAAACAGAUACCUGAAUCAUGCUGCACAGAUCACAUGCUGUUAACCUUUCACUAGCUGAAUGCAUUGGCAAACUGACACCAAUUUGAGCAGGAGCCAGGACCUUAACUCUGCAGUGGUGACCUUGCUUCUUGGAUCUAUGAACCAGUGACCAUUGCACCUAAAAGUACUCUGGGAAGUAAAGGAGCAGCUUUGCUAGCUGCUGGGGACAGCAGCAGAGAUAGACUUUUUAAAUUGAGCAAAGAACAAGAGUUUUGCUACACAGCAAUGCAAAAUGCGAGUGAAGGCAGAGCACAGUAGUUCUGUUUGGCUACACCUAGAUGAGCUUGUGCACAGUGGUGAUGUUGCUGAUCUCAACCACCUACAUCAAAGUAAAAUACCACCUCUGUCUGCACCUCACUUAGAUUUCUCAGCCUGGCAGUUCUCUCUGGAAAGACAAACCAGGAUUUGUAAUUAAAACAAAGCCUGCUGGGAUUCCAGUUCAGUUUGCAAUGUUGUUCUCUUACUCCUAUUAUGCUGGGCUCUGGAGACAAUUUGACCCCAGCUACAGUGGCACAGCUGCACUUUGUGCCAGCCUAGUGAGACACCCUUGCCAGGGCUGCCAAAGCAAUUUUUUUUAUUGACAAUCUGCAGGAUUUUUACUGAUACUAAUUUUUUUCCUGACAUAUAUUUUACAUCAUGUAAAUAUAACCCUUUGGUCAAAUCAUCAUAGAUUUCAUAGACAUUAAGGCUGGAAGGGACCUUGGAAGAUCAUUGGGGUCCAGACCUCUGCCCCAAGGACAAGAAGUCAGCUAGAGUCAUAGAUUUCAUAGACAUUCAGGCUGGAAGGGACCCCAAAGGAUCAUUGAGUCCAACCCCCUGCCCCAGGGUCAGGAAGUCAGCAGGGAUCAUAGGAUCCCAGCAAGAUAAACAUCCAAAUGUGAAGGCGUUCAAAGUGGGUGCUCGAACCACCUCUGGUGGCAGUCUAUUCCAAACUUUGAGGGCUCAGACAGUAAAGAAGUUCUUCCUUAUGUCCAGCCUGAAUCAGUCUCGGAGGAGUUUGUGACCGUUUGAUCUUGUCAUCCCUUGGGGCGCUCUGGUGAACAGAUGUUCCCCCAGAUCCUGGUGAACUCCCCUAAUAAACCUAUAGGUGGCCACCAGAUCGCCCCUGAGUCUGCGCUUUUCUAGGCUGAAGAGUCCCAUGGCACUCAGCCUCUCAUCAUAAGGUCUGUUUUCCUGAUCUCUGAUCAUGUGCGUGGCUCUCCUCUGCACUCUCUCAAGCUUCUCCACAUCCUUUUUGAAUUGUGGAGCCCAAAACUGGAUGCAGUACUCCACCUGCAGCCUCACCAAGGCUGAGUACAAUGGGAGAACGACGUCCCAGGAUUUGCUUGAGAAUCAUCUAUGGAUGCAAGCCAGCGUUUUGCUCGCUUUACUAGCUGCAGCAUCACAUUGCAGGCUCAUGUUCAUCUUGUGGUCAAUCAUGACCCCCAUGUCCCUUUCAUCAGUAGUGCUAGUCAGCAUAGCACUGCCGAACCUAUAAGGAUCCUGCAGGUUUUUCCUCCCAAGGUGGAGAACCUUGCAUUUUUCGGUGUUAAACACCAUCAGGUUCUCAUCCACCCAUUUCAUGAGCCUGUCAAGAUCUGCCUGGAUCACCCUCCUGUCCUCAGGUGUGGAUGCUUUACCCCAGAGUUUGGUGUCAUCAGCGAACUUGGCCAGUAUGCUUCUAACACCAAUGUCUCCAUCAUUGAUGAAGAUGUUGAACAAUAUAGGCCCUAGGACAGAGUCUUGAGGGACCCCACUGGUCACAGCGCACCACAACAAUUGACUUCCAACAACCACCACCUUCUGGGUCCUACCACGGAGCCAAUUCCCCAGCCAGAGGAUCAUGGUGUGGUCAAGGCCGCAGUUAGCCAGUUUUGUCAAGAGGAGAUCAUGAGAUACCAGAUCGAAGGUGUAAGGCCCAUCCCGAAGAGGCCUCUGGGAGGAGGCCAAGCUGGCCGCCCAAAGUGGGGGUCAGCUUUGCAGAACCUGGAAGCCACGGGACAGUGACCUAAUUAAUCUGCUGAUCAGCCGGAAUGGAGAAAAAGGAAAUGCUUUGAGCAACUAACAGUUCUAGAAAGUACCAGAAAUAAUGGCCAAGAAAAGAGGAACUGCGGCAAAGCCUGAGGUGACCCUGCUUUGCAGCAUGUGAUGAUACUUGCUUUAAUCCAUAAAAAGUGAUAAAGCUAAAAAUGCUGUGUGAUUAGAUCACCUCAGGGAGAUGAGAGGCAGAAAGGUAUAAAAGUUCUAAGAACAAAGCCUGGGGCAGAACUACUUUGGGGAGGACAAGGCUGAGGACCCAAUAAAGAAGGUAGUCUCACCACCCUGGAUGCAGGGUGGGGUUCCUGAGACCCAUCAGGUAAUAAUGAGGGAAAGGGUGUGGAGUGCCUUUCCUCCAGCCCCACACGCUUGCUAUUCUUGAGCAUGAUAUAAGAGCCCAUGCGCUCCCAUUGGCCACUGCCCGGACCACCCCGCUCCACCCCCCUGGCAGCACAGGGAAAUCUGCCCUGGAGUUCAGCUUUUCAUAAUGGCCCUAGAAACAAGGGCCACUGUAAAAAUUAUUAGAGCAGGGACUACACUUAAUCUUAUCCAAGAUAAGAGGCAAGCAGGAACUUCUGAAGCCCUCUCUGCCCCCACCUGCUCCCUGACCCAGCAAGCCCUCUCCAGCCAUAGCUUCAGCCUUGUGUGUACAAGCUUACACAUGCUUGGGAAACCAUGCUGGUGGCUGGCAUGUGUGUGCACAUGUGUGGGGCUGUGUUUCCAGCAGGCACUCACUUUCAUAGAUUCAUAGAUUCACAGAUGUAGGGAUGGAAGGGACCUUGUAGAUCUUCUAGUCCGACCACCUGCCCUGGGCAGGAGAGAAAAGUGGGCUCAAAUGACCCCAGCUAGGUAAACGUCAAGCCUCCUCUUAAAGACCCCCAAGGUAGAAGCCAGCACCACUUCUCUUGGUAGUUGGUUCCAGAUCCUAGCCACCCUGACUGUGAAGCAGUGCCUUCUAAUGUCUAGUCUGAACCUUCUGCCCACGCUGACUCCCCUGUCCUUCUGUCGCAGAGCACUAAGGUGCCCUGCUCCUAAAGAAGGGAAACUGCUAGGGAGUGAGCCCUAGCAGGGAAUAAGGAGCCCAGCUGUUGGCUGCCAGGACAACCAGAGGAGGUCAGCUGACCAGAAGAGGCAGAGCCUGUCUCCCUUAUAAACCCUAGGGGCUGGGCCCAGAGGCAGUUCCCUGCCAGCAGCCCCAGGGGAAGGAGCUCUCUCAGGGAAGAAAGGGGAGGCCUGACUGCAGGAGCAGCGUUUGACACUGCUGAAGGAUGGAGUAUUCCCCGAGCCAUGGGCCUCCAUGAGAAGCGGUGUGUUCAGGAGGAGUAUAAGGCCUUUGUGAAGACAGCCCCCAGACUCGGAGGGUCUCCAUGUUCUCUCCGGUUCGGCCCAGAUUUCCAGGCAGUCACGUGUGUCCCCCACCUGGCCUAAAUUGUCUAUUGUAUUAGUUCAGAGGGUUUAUGAAUAAAGUUAUUUCUGGA